rnacentral:piRNA from 1 species
UGCAAAAGGCUAAGGUGAAGAGAUUUAGGU